UACGUAGGGGGCAAGCGUUGUCCGGAAUCAUUGGGCGUAAAGCGCGUGUAGGCGGCCAGAAAAGUCCGCUGUGAAAACUCGAGGCUCAACUUCGAGCUGUCGGUGGAAACUUUCUGGCUAGAGUCCGGAAGAGGAGAAUGGAAUUCCUGGUGUAGCGGUGAAAUGCGCAGAUAUCAGGAAGAACACCCGUGGCGAAGGCGGUUCUCUGGGACGGUACUGACGCUGAGAAGCGAAAGCAUGGGGAGCGAACAGG
rnacentral:rRNA from 1 species